rnacentral:rRNA from 1 species
CCUACGGGAGGCUGCAGUGGGGAAUAUUGGACAAUGGGGGGAACCCUGAUCCAGCGACGCCGCGUGAGUGAAGAAGUAUUUCGGUAUGUAAAGCUCUAUCAGCAGGGAAGAAAAUGACGGUACCUGACUAAGAAGCCCCGGCUAACUACGUGCCAGCAGCCGCGGUAAUACGUAGGGGGCAAGCGUUAACCGGAUUUACUGGGUGGAAAGGGAGCGUAGACGGUGCAGCAAGUCUGAUGUGAAAGGUCGGGGCUCAACCUCGGGACUGCAUGGGAAGCUGUUGAACUGGAGUACAGGAGAGGUAAGUGGAAUUCCUAGUGUAGCGGUGAAAUGCGUAGAGAUUAGGAGGAACACCAGUGGCGAAGGCGGCUUACUGGACUGUAACUGACGUUCAGGUGCGAAAGCGUGGGGAGCAAACAGGAUUAGAUACCCCAGUAGUC